AGAGUUGAUCCUGGCUCAGGAUGAACGCUAGCGACAGGCUUAACACAUGCAAGUCGAGGGGCAUCACGGGAGUAGCAAUACAACUGGUGGCGACCGGCGCACGGGUGAGUAACGCGUAUGCAACCUACCUAUCAGAGGGGAAUAACCCGGCGAAAGUCGGACUAAUACUGCAUAAAACAGGGGCACCGCAUGGUGAUAUUUGUUAAAGAAAUUCGCUGAUAGAUGGGCAUGCGUUCCAUUAGGUAGUUGGUGAGGUAACGGCUCACCAAGCCGACGAUGGAUAGGGGAACUGAGAGGUUGGUCCCCCACACUGGUACUGAGACACGGACCAGACUCCUACGGGAGGCAGCAGUGAGGAAUAUUGGUCAAUGGGCGGGAGCCUGAACCAGCCAAGUCGCGUGAAGGAAGAAGGAUCUAUGGUUCGUAAACUUCUUUUGCAGGGGAAUAAAGUGCAGGACGUGUCCUGUUUUGUAUGUACCCUGAGAAUAAGGAUCGGCUAACUCCGUGCCAGCCGCCGC
rnacentral:rRNA from 1 species